ensembl:lncRNA LINC02128 long intergenic non-protein coding RNA 2128
CAGGGGCAGACAGCUCCAGGUGCUGGAGGCUGCCGCGCGGAGAGGUCCGCCCAGCCAGGAUGUGCGUUGUCCUGAGAAUCGAAUUACCCGGAACCCCAGAGCUCACCCUCUCUGAAGGAGAGCAGGUGCCUCCUGAGAGCAGGGCUUCUCUACCUUGGGGCACUAUGAACAUUCUGAGUGGGUGCCCACUUUGUUCAUCUCUGCUCACUGGGGGAGCCAGGACACGGAUCCAGGUUUUCUGACUCCAGGUCUCAGGCUUGCUCCAUAGCGCCACCUGCUGGUGACGGCAAUCGGUAGGCACCCAAAUCAAGACUCAGAUUUCCUCAUCUCAGAAGUUGUCCACUUCUUCUCCGACCUCCACGGUAACUCGGAACCACACCGUGGAGUUAUCCCUGUGUCCUCUUUCUCGGAAGUUCCACAUCCAACCCCUCAGCAGGUCUCAGCGGCACUCUCACCACCUCCUCUGCUCUGUUCCUGUUUCUCUUGGAUGGUCGAAUGUUUCCUAAGGAGUGUCUGCUGCUUCACGCUUGCCCCCUGGAGUGGCAUCUAAAAGGAUACCCUACAACUAACAGGCAUGAUGCCAUCAAGACAUCUUGAGCCUGGCUACCUCCCGUGGCCUGUAUUUUGUCCACAGGAAACUCGCGCAGUCUCACUACAGCAAAUUGAGGUGGUAUGGGGUGCCUGCUGCUGCCUCUCUCUUCACCUUUCCACAGAGGGCUGCCCCAGCCUGACUCCCACUUCCAGAGUUUCUCCAGCCAGGAGAAUCCUGAAAUCUCUGUAAAUAAGCAAUCCAGGAGCCAGAGAAUCAUGGGAUCUCAUAUAAACAAAUCAUCAAGGAAAAACACAGCCAGAGUCUCCAUUUGGUAAACCUCCGUGACUGGGGAUCCCCGGCCACCCAGAAAGCAGUAUUGCCUGCCAUGCAUGUCAUCACUGAUUUUUACUGCUGCAGCAGACUCCGUCAGACCUGCCUGCUGCUUCAGCGAAUUGUUCAGUGCACACCACCAGCUACCUGCUGUAAGCAUUCACACUCCUCUACCUGCCUGGCAGCAUUUCUCAGCUGAACACAGGCCAGGCCAGAAGUGCCAGGGAUUUAAUGCCCUUAGAAGUAGCUCUCUACCAAUGACAAAUGGAGCUGGUGGAUACAUUCUCAGCUUCCUCCCCUCUCAGGUGGAACAGCCCUGAGAUGUGCUCUAUGCAAUCUCCCACAAGUCCCCAGCAGGCUCAAGCUCCCAUUGUCCAACCCUGGUAACCUGCUCAUUGACACCCCUGUCUUGCCUUCCCUUCCUGGCCUCACUUUCUCACUCUCUUACUGUUGCCUCCUGAGAUCGCAUCCAAAAUAAAUGACCUGCACCCA